AUUGAACGCUGGCGGCAGGCCUAACACAUGCAAGUCGAGCGCGAGGCGGACGGGUGAGUAAUGUAUGGGGACUGCCCGAUAGAGGGGGAUAACUACUGGAAACGGUGGCUAAUACCGCAUAAUAGCGGCUAACCCAUAUGGGAUUAGCUAGUAGGGGGGGUAAAGGCUCACCUAGGCGACGAUCUCUAGCUGGUCUGAGAGGAUGAUCAGCCCCACUGGGACUGAGACACGGUCCAGACUCCUACGGAGGCAGCAGUGGGGAAUAUUGCACAAUGGGCGCAAGCCUGAUGCAGCCAUGCCGCGGGUAUGAAGAAGGCCUGCGGGUUGUAAAGUACUUUCAGCGGGGAGGCGUUACCCGCAGAAGAAGCACCGGCUAACUCCGUGCCAGCAGCCGCGGUAAUUC
rnacentral:rRNA from 1 species